GAUGAACGCUGGCGGCGUGCCUAAUACAUGCAAGUCGAGCGAACGGACGAGAAGCUUGCUUCUCUGAUGUUAGCGGCGGACGGGUGAGUAACACGUGGAUAACCUACCUAUAAGACUGGGAUAACUUCGGGAAACCGGAGCUAAUACCGGAUAAUAUUUUGAACCGCAUGGUGCAAAAGUGAAAGACGGUCUUGCUGUCACUUCUAGAUGGAUCCGCGCUGCAUUAGCUAGUUGGUAAGGUAACGGCUUACCAAGGCAACGAUGCAUAGCCGACCUGAGAGGGUGAUCGGCCACACUGGAACUGAGACACGGUCCAGACUCCUACGGGAGGCAGCAGUAGGGAAUCUUCCGCAAUGGGCGAAAGCCUGACGGAGCAACGCCGCGUGAGUGAUGAAGGUCUUCGGAUCGUAAAACUCUGUUAUUAGGGAAGAACAUAUGUGUAAGUAACUGUGCACAUCUUGACGGUACCUAAUCAGAAAGCCACGGCUAACUACGUG
rnacentral:rRNA from 1 species